rnacentral:lncRNA from 1 species
ACCACGCCCGGCUAAUUUUGUAUUUUUAGUAGAGACAGGGUUUCUCCAUGUUGGUCAGGCUUGUCUCGAACUCCCAACCUCAGGUGAUCCGCCUGCCUCGGCCUCCCAAAGUGUUGGGAUUACAGGCGUGAGCACCCGGCUGUAUUUGCUUAUUGUGCAGCAAUAUUAUGGGGGAUAGGAGUGCAGAGGGAAAAGGACCCCACUUUGCCAGCCCAUCGCCUCCCUUCCUGGGGACAGGAGCCGUACUCUGAAGGAAGGAAGGUGGCACCAAGACUCAGAAGCCAAAGGGAUGGAAUGAGACAAUGGCAGCAGCUAAGGGAAGGGUGGGAUUGGUGAAUGUUUCUGUGCAAGGGCAUGGGGGGGCAGGGGGCUUCAGGGGUGGUGCCCAUUCCCAAAGUCCCCAAGGAAACUCCAGCCAAGGCUGCUCCGUCGUCCUGCAGCUCCUGUCCCGUUUCCUACCUACCAACCCAAAUCUGAGUACACCUCUUUUAAAAGCUCAAGUCUGCACACCUAGCCCCAGCCUUGGGGGUUUCUGCCCUCCUCUCUCAGUCUUGUGAAAGUAGGGAGACCGGAGGCCGCCUGCAAGGGGCUGGGCAGCCAGGGCCUGGAAGGGAGGCGGUGGAAGUAAUGAAUGGGCGGAAGGGCUUCCUUUGAGUGCCCGAAGUAGCUCAUUGACUCAGGGACCAGCCAGGUCUGGGAGCUGCCUCAUCACCGGCCACAUCCUGCUCACUCACUCAGUUUCCUGCUAGGGGCAGUUCCCUGACUUGGAGCAGGAUGGGGUCUGGGUGAGGCAAGGCCAGGCUGACCACAAAGCUGAGAAAAAAGACUGGCGUGUCAGAAGGCCUAGUGGAUUCAUACACACGCAACAGGCUCCAUUUCACUUUGGUUUGUCAAAGACAUCACUCAUUGCCCAACUUACAGAGACAUGUAGCACCAGGCCAGAGAGCAGGAUCAAUUCCCCAAAAGGCUCUCUCGCCUGCUCAGCACCUGAUUCUGUGCUAGGAGUAUGGCUGCCCUGACUCUAUUUCCUGGCUCCAG